UUCAAUGUCAAGUUCACAUAGCUUACAUGUUCAUUUCUUGCCCCUCAACUUCCAGAUGUAAUCCACUUAAGAGUUUGGGAACAAGUCUGCCACUCUGAAGCAAUAUCUGAGAUGGAGAGGUGAACAUAUUUUGAAUGACACAAAUGGUUCCCAUCCACGGAAAGCAAUGACAGGAUUUUGUCCUUUUCCUUGAAUCUCUGUUUAUCACAGUCA
rnacentral:lncRNA from 1 species